AAGGUCACAUGGGCGCCCCUGCAAUGGUCCAGUGUGCUGUUGUGGCUCCUUUUCCUCUGAAUUGGCCCAGACACUCAGUGGAGAGUGAGUUCCUUGGAAGGCUUGACUUGGGAAACUGGUCCGUUGGAUGACUGAAGGGAACCCACACCAUGAGCACACUCUCCAGUGAGUCAAUGAUUAUUCUGCUCCAGCCACUGAGGCAAUAGAGACGUUGACUUCCACUCUAGCCGAUGAGGGCUCAGGUGAGGAAGAGAGAAGAAGAGUGAGGAAGCUGGCUUUAACUCCCUGUGUCAGAGUUCAGCCUCCUACAGGCCUCUUGGAACGUUUGCAUUGUAGCUGCCCAUCCAUCCAUCUACGCAUGUUAAAUAUAUCUUUGCGGGUCUCACUCCAUAAUGGUGUGAAAGCCACCUCAAGGCAGGGUAGGGUGCUGCAACCUUAGCUCUGCUGCCAUAAACCCAGGAGCAGAGGACCACAGAGGAGGAAGUCCUGCCUAGAGGAACAGAAUGGACUGGUGGCGGCGAGCUUUGAGAUCACACCUCAAACCCAGGAACCUGUUAUGACUGGGUUAUCUCCUUCCUCUCAGCGGGAGCUGGAACAACUCUGAGUCGGCAUCCUGACUUUUGGCCCCUUUACAUGAAACCAUAUGUGGAGGAACUAGGAGUGGUGUAGCUGGCUGUACAUUGGACCUAAGAAGUGGAAAUUUCUUAUUUCAUUGUAAAGUCAGCUAUAUCAAACGAUGUUUUGCUGGGGAACACAGGCGAAAGGAAGUUUUGCUAAAGCAGACAUGUGAAAGAUGCAUGAUGCUUAGAAGGCAUAUAAAUGUGAUCCCACAGACAGUGGGAGCUUGAGCAUUGGUUCACUUUGCUCCACCUGGCUAUUCUUCACUGACAGACGUGCAUGCAUGUAUUGGUUCACCUUAUAUUGCAUUGCUGAGCUCCGCCUGUGGUGGCGCCAUAGAGAGAAAUUUGCCAAAGAACUUCUCCGUGAGGUUCCUGCUGCUUCCUCAAGCUGGUUGGUGAGCCUUGUGGUUUCUUCUGGAUUGAACUGCCCUUGCUGGUUCACAUGUGGUGACUGCCAAGUGGACUGGACUGCAGCUGCUGAUUCCUGUUUGGUGUUUUCUACUGAACUGAAACUGCUGAUAUCCUGACAAUGAAAAUUGGACUUGUCCCCAAAGAGCUAUUUGUAAACAGGUCUACUUCCACACCAUGUCCUAAUAACUUUUAUCUUCCACCAAUGUUGGUGGGUGGUGGCUUAGAGAGGAGGUUGAAUGUUUAUUAAAGUAGGCUGGAAAAAAAAUUA
rnacentral:lncRNA from 1 species